GGGAGGGCAUAGGUAGUUGCCACCACCACCCACUCACUCGUUCUGUAGCACAUGUUUUCCCGAUCGAGGUGACCCAUUGAUCACAGAAAACGCACGUGUUUUGUACCGCUGCACCCUGUUCUGCGCCACCGCUACCAGGUGACGCUGCAGGAUUUCCCCCCAACCUGUUGCCGUCAACCAGCUACAGACGGUGCCGAAAGGGUUUUAAGGCUGACUACUCGGUCGUACACCGAGACACUCGAUUUGAUCCACAGUCUCGAAGCACGAGAGACGAGUAAGCAAGCCACAGCUCGGUAUCCAGCGCUCACUUCACCAUGAGGGCCGACUUGCUGACUUUCGUGUUUCUCAUGUCCGCCUUCGCCGUUUUGACGGACAUGGCAGCGGCAUACGAAGUGACCCACUUCGAUAUAGGCCUUGGAUGCCCGAAGUCAUUGCUGACUUGUUCACAAGAAUGCCGAAGAACUUACGGUCAUCGAGGAGGAUACUGCAACGGACCGUUCAACAUCGUCUGUACCUGCACCUAACCGGGCAUCAAAAUGACUGAUUACGUGGCCACUACGUCGCCAUUCGUGUUCGUCACAAUUAUGUCACCAUUCGAAUUAUCACCACCCGAAUGGUGAUCACGUCACCAUUCGUGUUCACAGUUUUCUUAAGGGUCACUGCAUGAUGUGCUAGAUGACAUGAUAUAUUUUUACGCGUUGUACGAUAAUAACUGCCUGUAUUGUUACAUUACCUACAUGUUAUUUAUGCACAUUAUUUUAUCUUAUGUUAGGAAUACGAUUUCGUUGUUACUGGUUGGUUUUCUUUCUUUAACACCAACUUAUGUUCCUCGUUAGACGCGCUUUUAUUGUGGUUGCGUUUAACAUGUGUGAAUAUGUGAAAGUUGUUUUUUAAUAUCAUAGGUUUAUUUUAUCAGCCAUGAAUUUUUGUAGCUAGAGCACUAAACCAUUUUUUCACUGUCACAUACAGUUUUUUUUUUAAAUAUUUUUAGGAUUAGGUUUAAGC